UGCAAUUCAGAAAACUAGUGACAAGCAUGAUUUCAGAAGCCAUACUGAUGUUAACAGAACAAUAAGAAAAGAAAAAUAGGAAUUCAGGGAGAUAAUACACAGAGUGCCAGGUAUAUAACAAGUUCUCAGAGAAGCUGUUACUAUGGUUACAGUUUGAUCCAGAAGGACCCAGCAAAAGGAAGUAACACAACGGGAUCUCCACCCAAGUUUCUUAACUAUAUGAGAAAGCACUUUCAGGAGAACCCCA
rnacentral:lncRNA from 10 species